rnacentral:rRNA from 1 species
GAUGAACGCUGGCGGCGUGCCUAAUACAUGCAAGUCGAGCGAACAGACGAGGAGCUUGCUCCUCUGACGUUAGCGGCGGACGGGUGAGUAACACGUGGAUAACCUACCUAUAAUACUGGGAUAACUUCGGGAAACCGGAGCUAAUACCGGAUAAUAUAUUGAACCGCAUGGUUCAAUAGUUAAAGACGGCUUUGCUGUCUCUUAUAGAUGGAUCCGCGCCGCAUUAGCUAGUUGGUAAGGUAACGGCUUAACAAGGCAACGUUGCGUAGCCGACCUGAGGGGGUGAGCGGCCACACUGGAACUGAGACACGGUCCAGACUCCUACGGGAGGCAGCAGUAGGGAAUCUUCCGCAAUGGGCGAAAACCUGACGGAACAACGCCGCGUGAGUGAUGAAGGUCUUCGGAUCUUAAAACUCUGUUAUUAGGGAAAAACAAAUGUGUAAGUAACUAUGCACGUCUUGACGGUACCUAAUCAGAAAGCCACGGCUAACUACGUG